rnacentral:lncRNA from 10 species
AAUUGUGAUUAUAGAUCAAAAGAUGCAUGACCAAAGCUUUUACAUGUGUGACUGAAUGAGAAAGCAUAUUUUUAUUCACUGAAAAUAAAAUUCCUUUUAGGGAAGGAACAGUCCUUACUUAGGAAAAUAAAGAUAUGCAAAUUUUAGGUCACUUGGAGUUGGAAAGAAAAACACCAGGAAUUGAAGAAGAUUUAACAAAAAUACUAGAGUGACAUUACUCUCUCUCUCUCUCUCUAUAUAUAUAUAUAUAGGAUGAUAAGCCAGCAUUUUGAAUCUUGAAAGUAGCAAUGAGAAGGGAAAGAGAGAGAUGGAGUCAAAUAACAUGGAAAGAACCCGGAACCAGAAUGGCCAGAAUUGUCUAAAAGACUUAAAAAAAAACAAAGAUAACACCAGACUCACUCUGGAUUGUACAAAGUUUGAUCUCAAGAGGGCAGUAAUUAUUAUAAUAGUACUGUUAAAGACGAUGAAGACUUACAGACAUGGAGACAAAGAAGAAUUGAAGUGGAUAUGAGCAAAAUAAAUAUCUUUUCCUCC